CAUAACUGUAGCCACCAUUUUGCACAGAACCAGACCCUUAGGUUGUUAUUUUUAAGGUAUGAAUGUGUGAAACUCAGUCUAACUUGUUUUUAAGUUCAG